GUGGCUGUAGCUCAACGGUAGAGUCCUGGAUUGUGAUUCCAGUUGUUGCGGGUUCGAAUCCCGUCAGCCACCCCA
rnacentral:tRNA from 1 species